GAUGAACGCUGGCGGCGUGCCUAAUACAUGCAAGUCGAGCGAACAGACGAGGAGCUUGCUCCUCUGACGUUAGCGGCGGACGGGUGAGUAACACGUGGAUAACCUACCUAUAAGACUGGGAUAACUUCGGGAAACCGGAGCUAAUACCGGAUAAUAUAUUGAACCGCAUGGUUCAAUAGUGAAAGACGGUUUUGCUGUCACUUAUAGAUGGAUCCGCGCCGCAUUAGCUAGUUGGUAAGGUAACGGCUUACCAAGGCGACGAUGCGUAGCCGACCUGAGAGGGUGAUCGGCCACACUGGGACUGAGACACGGGCCAGACUCCUAAGGGAGGCAGCAGUAGGGAAUCUUUCGGAAUGGGCGAAAGGCGGACGGAGCCACGCCGCGUGAGGGAAGAAGGUCUUCGGGUCGGAAAACUCUGUUGUUAGGGAAGAAAAAAAGAUGCAGUAAAUGGUGCUCGUGUGAAGGGACCCAAAGAGAAAGCCACGGCUAAAUAAGUG
rnacentral:rRNA from 1 species